UACGAAGGGGGCUAGCGUUGCUCGGAAUCACUGGGCGUAAAGCGCACGUAGGCGGGUUGUUAAGUCGGGGGUGAAAUCCUGGAGCUCAACUCCAGAACUGCCUUCGAUACUGGCGACCUUGAGUCCGGGAGAGGUGAGUGGAACUCCGAGUGUAGAGGUGAAAUUCGUAGAUAUUCGGAAGAACACCAGUGGCGAAGGCGGCUCACUGGACCGGUACUGACGCUGAUGCGCGAAAGCGUGGGGAGCAAACAGG
rnacentral:rRNA from 1 species